rnacentral:rRNA from 1 species
AGUGAACGCUGGCGGUAGGCCUAACACAUGCAAGUCGAACGGCAGCACAGUAAGAUCUUGCUCUUACGGGUGGCGAGUGGCGGACGGGUGAGGAAUACAUCGGAAUCUACUUUUUCGUGGAGGAUAACGUAGGGACACUUACGCUAAUACCGCAUACGACCUACGGGUGAAAGCAGGGGAUCUUCGGACCUUGCGCGAUUGAAUGAGCCGAUGUCGGAUUAGCUAGUUGGCGGGGUAAAGGCCCACCAAGGCGACGAUCCGUAGCUGGUCUGAGAGGAUGAUCGGCAACACUGGAACUGAGACAGGGUCCAGACCCCUACGGGGGGCAGCAGUGGGGAAUAUGGGACAAGGGGCGCAAGCCUGAUCCAGCCAGACCGCGGGGGUGAAGAAGGCCUUCGGGUUGUAAAGCCCUUUUGUUGGGAAAGAAAAGCAGCAGGUUAAUACCCCGCUGUUCGGACGGUACCCAAAGAAUAAGCACCGGCUAACUGCGU